GUCAUUGAUGUUAGCAUGUACUAUACAAAGAAAAACAGGCAAAGCAUGAAGCCAAAGGAAAUGUUUUUACCAAGGCAUGUUCCUCAAUGGCGGAGAGAGUUUUAUCCAGUGUCGGUUCUGCAGAAGAACCCAUUCAUAGCAGACCAUUCAUUGCAGCACUUGUAAGGUCGCUAUAAAGAACCCGACAGACUCUGCGACCAAAAGAUCCCACUGACGUGUCGUCAAGCCUUGACGAAGAUUUCAUCGAUCAUAGUGCACCGGGAUUUUAUCAAAAAAGAGUAAAAGUUGGGGAAAGGCGCCAUCACAUUUUUUGUACUGAUAGACAGAUGCAACUACUCGCACGCGCAAAAACUUGGUAUAUGGAUGCAACUUUUCGGGUGGUGAACAAGCCAUGGUCUCAGCUGUUUUCCAUACACGCCUUCAUUAAGACUGGAGAGACCACCCGACAGUUACCAUUGGUGUUUUGUGUAAUGUCGGGUAAAAGCCAAGACGACUAUUAUAAGUUUCCAUAUUAGAUGCCAUAGCAAAUCAAAGAUCAUAUAAUAAAAUAAGUCAAAAAACCCAAAUAUGGGAAAAGAAAGAGCUGAAGAAAUGGUGAUUUGAGCACCUAUGAUUUCUCAUAGGUGUUUUUGGAGGUUAACUACAUCAGAAAGAUCAAGACAGUUGGAAAUGGCUAUUCAUAUUAUGGAAACUUUUUCUCACAGAGCUUGAUAAUCAGGUAAAAUGCUGGAAGAUUAUUUGAUGUAUGACAACAACAAGAGAUCCCAAGCAUCAAUUUAUUUUAUAAUUCUGGAAAAGAAUGCAUUUGACCCAAUUUUUGAAUAUUUUUUUUUGUUUUUACUGUUAAAUAUUCAUCCCAAACACAAUUAGAUUUUAAUUCUCUACAGAAAUUUAUGUAUAAUAUAGAAUGUAAAGUGACAUAUAAAUCACUUAGAAUUUGGUCGGAAAUCAUAAAGUAUUUAAUAGGCAUAGUCUAGAAACCAAAUGUAGAUCAAAUAUACCCAGAAUUACAAAAAAACUUGACCUACAUUAAGGUGACUUUCCCUUGCUUAUGAAAUGAAAUAGGGUUUAAUAUCCUACUUUUCUGUGUUAUUAUGGUGAUUCUGCCCUACAACCUACUCUUAUAUCAAAUAUUUCAACUGUCAAGGGUUGUUUAAAGGGAACCCAGGAGGGCCGAAUGGUUAACACACGCAUAUUGGAUCAGAAGGGUCUGUCAUUGAGUCAGAUAAUUCAAUUGUCAAGGGUUCUUUAAAGUAAACGCAGUGGGGGUAGUUUCAAUUCUGGGCUUAUACCCAAUUAUCCCUUGCCAUGUCCUACACUACUGACGUGUGGGAACUAUGUCGGAAAAUCCAGUUGAAAUUUCUCGGCCAAUGCACUCACUGAACCACAAUGGCUCCUCCUUGCUUUUGACUUGUGAUUAUUUAUAUAUAUUUUGUACAUAUUAUUUAAUGUUUGCGAUUUUCUCUGAUAUUUUUUUAUUUUUCAAUCCUGUAAUCUUGAUGCUUUGCUCCUUUUAUGUACAAAAUAUUCAUUUUGUUUGAGGAAAAGGUUCUACAUCAUUUUAUUACUCCUGCAAAAUAGUGCAUUUUUCUUUUGUUAGUUUUCUGUGUAUGCUAGUUUUUUCUAGAUGCCUCACAAAUCACUAGUAAUAUGACUUUGUAGCACUUUUCAGUUUCUGAAAGUAUUUCAAUUUAGUGCAUAAUUAAUCUAAUUAGGGCUUGGUUUGGAUGUUAUUAAAUUUAGAUAUAUUUGAAUUAUAUAUUUUUGGGGUAUGGGGUAGGGAUCUUUCUUUUCUCAGUUCUUGUUUUCGGGUAAAGAAAAAAUUAAAUAGCUAUUUUGUAUUUUGUGAUG